UACGUAGGGGGCAAGCGUUGUCCGGAAUCAUUGGGCGUAAAGCGCGUGUAGGCGGCCAGGUAAGUCCGUUCUGAAAGCCCGGGGCUCAACCCCGGGAGGCGGAUGGAUACUGCUUGGCUCGAGUCCGGAAGAGGCGAGUGGAAUUCCCGGUGUAGCGGUGAAAUGCGCAGAUAUCGGGAAGAACACCCGUGGCGAAGGCGGCUCUCUGGGACGGUACUGACGCUGAGACGCGAAAGCGUGGGGAGCGAACAGG
rnacentral:rRNA from 1 species